GGACUACAAGGGUUUCUAAUCCCGUUCGAUUCCCACGCUUUCGUGUUUCAGCGUCAGGAGCGCGCCAGUAGAGUGCCUUCGCAUUUGGUGUUCCCCAUGAUAUCAACGGAUUUCACCCCUACACCAUGAGUUCCCUCUACCUCUCGCGUCCUCGAAGCAUUGCCGUUUCUCCCGCGUCCCCCGGGUUAAGCCCGAGAUCUUUCACGAAAGACUAACAACGCCGCCUACACACCCUUUACGCCCAGUGAUUCCGGAUAAUGCUUGAGGCCUCUGUAUUACCGCGGCUGCUGGCAC
rnacentral:rRNA from 1 species